GCUCUGUGAUGAACCCCUGUGUGUCAUCUGAGCCCAGCUUCCCUGUUGCCUUAGC
ensembl:snoRNA